GCGGGGGGGAAGUUGUGUUAAUAGGGGCUGAGAGGUGCGGCGCGUCCCGGCUUAGCGUGAUGCGUGGCAGGAUGUCGUGGAUGCGUGGCGGCUUACCAAAGGAGGAGUCAUGUGGAAACCAGGGGCUACCAACUGGUGACGCGCUGCUGGUCCCGGCUUCCCCUGGCUCGUGGACCGCCGUGCUUUCAUCAACGUUGGGAAUCGCUUUGGCAGAUAUAAUGAAACAGAAUUUAGAUGCCAAAGUAAUGACUUGCUGCUUCUGACAUCAAGGGAGCGUCUCUCUCUCUCUCUCUCUCUCUCUCUCUCUCUCUCUCUCUCUCUCUCUCUCUCUCUCUCUCUCUCUCUCUCUCUCUCUCUCUCUCUCUCUCU